UGUAAUCCCAGAGAAGAGCA
rnacentral:tRNA from 1 species